CUUUAAGGCAAUGUCGACACCAAAGCGCCACCAGCAGCAUUAGCAAGUAGAAACUGACUGCUAUAAUCAGCACUGCUGGUAGAGGGAUGGAGAGAGACCACACUGACAGUACCUGAGGGAUGAAGAAACGACAAUAUCUGAGACGGGGACUCCACAGCUAUGAAACGUUUCAAAAACCAUCACAAUGGAGGACAGGUACCACAAGUAAGGGGCAGAGCGGCCCCUACUGGAGAAGGAAGGAAAUGCGCAGUAGAACAGAAGAGAGCCCUGUUACUGACAGGGUACUGAAAAGCU